CUGUCCCAGUUCGGACUGUAGGCUGCAACUCGCCUACACGAAGCUGGAAUCGCUAGUAAUCGCGGAUCAGCACGCCGCGGUGAAUACCGUUCCCGGGCCUUGUACACACCGCCCGUCACACCAUGAGAGUCUGUAACACCCAAAGCCGGUGGGAUAACCUUUAUAGGAGUCAGCCGUCUAAGGUAGGACAGAUGAUUAGGGUGAAGUCGUAACAAGGUAAC
rnacentral:rRNA from 1 species